UUUAAACAUAAAGAAAUAUUUGGAAGAUUUAAUAUCAACUUUGCAGCAUUUCAGGUUAAUUAGACACGAACUUGCAGGGAAAUGCUGUUUAUAUAGUUCCAAACAUAACCUAGAUGCCGAUGCAGUAUGCUCAGGCCUAGCCCUAGACCGUUUUGGGUCAAGUAAACUGGAACUGGACAGGGUUGAUAAGGUGAAACGUUCUAUACGUAACCGUUCACCUGGUCAGCUCGGCUCUGAUUAAAAUAGCAUACUUUGCCUAAUUGGAUCCCGUAGAAGUCGCUAUACAGCGUUAUUCCAAACCAUUUCUGCCCAAUUCUAUGUUACAGCAGGCCUCAUUCUGAUAUUCUAGGGGUGAGGAUGGUAAUCUGUGGCCCACUAAACUCUAUCAUUCGACAUAUGGUAUUCGGGCACGGGCUAGAUAAGAUACGUCGCUAAUAACGCAUCGACCAAUUUAUCCUAGAAAAUUAGCCCAAGCAUUAACACCAUAGCUGUGUCGAAACCAACCGUUCCAAGAACAACAACGCAACGUCGAAUUGAUCACAUGAAAUUUCCAUGUAACUAUUCCAAACAUCUCGAGGAAAAUAGAAUCUAUUGAUCCAUACCAAAAAUUGGAAGUGUACCUUGUAAACUUGUUGCGGAUGCAGUGGAAUGACCAUCAGGUUGAGACAUGUGUAGAUUAUGGAUGUUGAUCCACUGAAAUGGAGGUUGAAUAAUCAGGUUGAGACAUGGAUUAUGUAUAUUGAUACGUAUUGAUCCACUGCAAUGGAAGUUGAAUAAUCAGAUUGAGAUCUAGUAAACUUCAUAUAGAUGCAUUCGAAUACCCAAUUGAUUAAGAGGUAGAAUAUAUAUUUAUUCACUGAUACACUACAAUGACCAUUAGGUUGAGACCUAGUUACAUUGAUUCAUUAUAAUGUCCAUCAGAUUUAGACAUAAACUGUGUAUUUUGAUUCACCGUAAUAACCAUUAAUUUGUGACAUAAGGUUGGGACCUACCAAACUUCAUAUAGAUGCAUUCCCAUGGCUAAUAGAUUGAGACAUAGCACAUAUAUAUAUAUAUUGAUUCAUUGUAAUGUGCAUCAGGUUGAGACAUAAGCUACGUUGAGAUCUAAGUGUACCGAUAAACCUUUAGCUUGUAAAGCCACAUAGUUAAUUCCUACACUUAAUACAAACAAAGAAACAUGGUCUAAAGCGCUGCAACAUUAAAUGAACCAUGUUUAUUUGUAAGCGUGCUACGAUCAGCUAGGAUAACUGAAGGAAAAUUGAAAAAACGUGUCAGCAGCUGACACGUUGACUUAGGCUUGCUUAGAGUGCCCGAGGCGACACAGCUUCGUGUCACGGUGCGAUGAAGACAAGAAACUGACAGAACAUUUUCUCGCGCUGCAUUGUAGGUCGUCACGGAAGCGUAGCGACGUCUAUGCGUGCAGCGUACUAAGAAUAGUGGGAACGACGCCUAGACCUUGGGAAUUCAAGGUUUCGACGGAGCAACGGCGAAUCUUCUCCGAUACCCAAAAUCGUCGCGCCACGCAAUGCGAAUCCUUCUUUGGGGAAAUGUUGAAAAGAGGUAACGAGACAAACAUAUAGACAAAAUUCAGAUUUAUUCGAAGAAUUUUUCCAUAUCAUUAAAAAUAACAAGGACAUUUCAGAUUUAACUCUCCUUUAUUUUUUGACAAUCACUUCUCUCAAGGUCACCUGAAGGUUAAUAUAUUAUACAUGUCUGAAUUUCUCUUUUGAUCAGCUACAAUACUGUAAUAUUAAAAGUAUCCUGUUCCAUUUAAGAAAAACAUUCAUGACCUUGAAAUUUCAGAAAAUACGACCUUGAAAUAUUUUUUUGUGCACAUGGAAAUAUUCUUCCUUAGAAACUGAAGAAUUUCUGUCGGAACAAUUUUUCCAUAUCAUUAAAAAUAACGCAGAUACUUCAACUCUCCUUGAUUCUUUAACAAUAACUCCUCUCAAGGUCACCUCAAGGUCACCUGAAGGUCACCCGGAGGUCGCCUUAUUAUACACCUUUGAAUUCGUCUUUUUAUCACCUACAAGCCUACUAUAUUGAAAAUACCUAGUUCCAUUUAAGAAAAACAUUGAUGACCUUGAAAUUUAAUCAAAUAUGACCUUGUAAUAUUUUUUGUGCACAUGGUAAUAUUCUCCCUCAGAAAC